rnacentral:lncRNA from 1 species
UUUUUUUUUUUGCUUUUUAGGGCCAUACCUGCAGCAUAUGAAAGUUCCCAGGCUAGGGGUCAAAUCCGAGCUGCAACUGCUAGGCUAUGUCACAGCCACAGGAACACCAGAUCCAAGCAGCAUCUUCAAUGUACACCACAGUUUGUGCCAAUGCUGGACCAAGUGAGUCCAGGGAUCGAACCUACAUCCUCAUGGAUACUAGUUGGGUUCUUAACCCACUGAGCCACAAUGGGAACUCCUAGUGUAGUUUUGACAAUUGAUUCUGUUUGUCAGUGGAGUGAAUACAGAAGCUGAGAAGAGUGGCUCCAACCCUCCUCUUGAAGAUUUGUAAAUUAACCACCAAUUCCAAAGUUUUGUGGAUGCUUACUGACCAUGAGUGUCUCAUAGCCUAUUUCUAUCAAAUACCAGCAGGAAAAAUUAUUUGUACCUUAUUGUUCAUAAUUUUUCACCCCUUUAUGAAAGAAAAUAGGAAAUAAUUGGAUAUUUUGAGGAAAUAAGAAGCCAAGUCUUGAAAAGAGAUUAGUCAAAAGUAUUUAUGAUCUGGAUGCUAAAGGUGCUGAAAGGGGCGGUGGGGGGGGGGCAGAGGAAGCAGAGACUGUCCCCUCUAGAAGGCAAGGGUGGGAUGAGGCCAGCUCCAGAGUCUGGCUGUCCAGCAAACAGUCAUUUUCAGGGAUGAGCUUGACCUCCCCCUAUGAAGCCAACUCACACAAGCAUGGGAGGCAACAGCCCACUUUUCACAGGCUGGAUCCCUGCUGGAUAACUGGCCAUCCAAAUGGUGGACCGUGAGCCCCAGUGGGCCACAUGUCCCUGCCUUUAGCCUGCUCUCACCAGCAAGGCCCUGAUCCAGGUCAGGCAUCCUCAGAGGUUCCAAGAGGAGGAACUUAAUUGCAGGAAGCAAGAAUAAUAAGGAAGUCUGUUCUGUAAUUGUUAGCCUUCUGGCUUAGCUGGUUUUCCUCCAGCAAUGCAUAAUAAUAAAUCUUUACAUUUAUAGAGCACUUUAUAGCGCUCGAAAUACUUUCAUAAACAUUAUUUCCCUUUGGUGAAGGAAUCUCCUGCUACUUGGGAUAUUUUUUUUUUCCUCUCAGAUGCUUUGUUUCCACUCCUUUAGAAGCUUCUGUGUCAUUCACUCCCUGAUGUAAAAAACACAGACCACAACAAUGUUAAGGGUCACCUCCAAAGCAUGAGGAGAAAACCUGGGACUUUUAAAAAGCUAAUCAUUUGGUUACUUUGCACUUUAGUUAGCUAAUUUCAAGCUAAAUCUAACUUGGUGGGUGCCCGGUUCACGCUGCAUGAUGCCCCCAUGGGUGUGUGGGGAACACCCGCUCCUCCUGCGCUCAGGGCAGCUCUCUGUCAAGUUCAGAAACAUGCCCUGAGACUAGAGGCAAACCCAACACCACACACCCCCUGGGAGACAUGACUAAUCAAUCACCACCUUCUUUCUCCUGAGACCUGACCUCAAGACUGCACCCCAAACAGGCAUUAUCAGUUGAUGUCACUCCGCAGAAGCAAGAGAAAGCUAUUUGCCCUUCCUUAUUCUCAGGCUGCUGGGGGGUGGGCCCAGCAGUGUCCUGGACACUCUACUUAAGUUACUCCCUGGGAUUCUUCUCUCAUUCCCUGGGAUGUGGUUCAAGGGUUCCUGCCUACAUCCCCAAGACAUCUGUAGCAUCGUGGGGAUCCUGCUUUGCCCUCGACAGAACCCCAGUGCCAGCUGGUCUCACUCCUUCCUCAGGUCCAGUCCCCUCUUUCGCAGCUAAAACCCAACUCAUCCAUUCUCUCUUUCUGCAUCUCCCUAGUAUGACCACAUCUCCAACACCUUUCUCAUCAUGAGGGAAGAUUUUUAAAAGAUGUCCGUCUUCAGACACAAUGAUUUACAUCUUGCUAGGAUAUUUCCAUGUCUUUAGCACAAUAGCUACAUAUUUAUGACAUGAUGUGGGGUAAGGGAGUGGUGCUUCCCAAUGGGAGGAACCACAGAGAGAGACUAAGGGCAGGUAAAGACAGCAGCAAGGGAGUUCCCAUCUUGGCUCAGCAGAAACGAAUCUGUCUAGGAACCAUGAGGUUGCAGGUUCAAUCCCUGGCCUCGCUCAUGGGUUAAGGAUCCAGCCUUGUCACUGUUGUGGCUCUGGUCACUGCUGUGGCACAGGUUCGAUCCCUGGCCCAGGUACUUCUGCAUGCUGCAGGUGGGGCCAGAAAAAAAUAAAAUAAACACCGUGGACUAGGUGACUUAAACAACAGACAUUUAUUUCUUACAGAGGCUAGGAAGUCCAAGAUUAACCAGCCAGCAGAUUCAGUUCUUGGUGAGGGCCCUCAUCCUGGCUUGUAAACACCUUCCUUCUGUGUGAGCUCAUACAGCCUUUCCUUGGUAUGGGCAUAGGGGAGAUCGAGCUCCUUCCUGCCCCUUUCUCUUAUAAGGGCACAAAAUCUCUCUUAGGUAAAUACAAGGGCAGGACCCCCAUCACGGAGCCCCACCCCCAUGACCUCAUCUCAAUCUAUUACCUUCCAGAGGUCCCACCUCCAAAUACCAUCACCUGGGAGCUUAGGGGCAGGCGAGGGGCAAAAACAUUCAGCCCCUAACAUUCCCGGAAUAACAUUUUUAACAUCUUUUCAUUCGACUUCUUGAAAAUGGAAUUCAUGCCUUCUCAAAGCAGCUCUCUCUACUGCCCACUGGGUCUAAGUUCCACCACGUUCUAAAGUCUCAGCAUUUGUGUCUCGUCUCCAAAAUACUCAUUUACAUCUGUCCUUUUUCAAAAUAAAUGUCCUUCUGUCUUCUUCGUCUGUGGGUGUGGGCUCCCAGGCAAGAAUCCUGACUUUUUGCAGCAGAGUAAGUAAAGAGGGGGGAGGAGGGGAAGGAGAAUAAAACAGGAGACUUUGGUUUCCUUCCUCCUGCCCACUGCCCUCCACACACUGCCAGCAUCAUCUAUUAUGGAUAAAGCCCAGCCGAUGGGGCUCUCGUGUCUUCAGGGAAGACAGAAGGCCACAGAAAUGGAGACUUCCCUGCUUCCUGGUCCCCGGCUGCACAGAGACCACUAUGGGAAAGCACUCUGUGCUCAGGGAUGAGCAUGAGUCUGGAACUUUAUCAUCACCUCCAUUCUUCCAGGUAGCCCAUUCUCAAAUGGCAAAAGCCAGGAGAUUCUACACCAACUGCUUCCGGUGUUUUUCUAAGCAAGUUUUUGUCAUUAUUACAUAAGCAUCACAUUCAGAAACGUAUGCAAACCCAUGAAUUUUCACAGUGAACCAUGUAAACACCAGUCAGAUAAAAAUUACCAGUACUCCAGGGCCCCAACCAGCCACCCAAACCUCCUUAAUACCAAAGGUAACUGCUAGCUUAACUUAUAAAAUCAUAAACGAAUUUCCUUGUACUUGAACUUAUAAAUUACAGGAGGUGAUCUCCUGUGUCUUCUUUUACUUCUACCACUCAAUUAUAUGACUGAGAUUCAUCUAUGUUGUUUCCUGGAUAAAACAGCAUCUUUUCAGGGCUGUUUAGUAUUCUAUUACAUGCAUAUAAGAUAGUUAUCCAUUCCAUUUUUUAUAAACUUUGCAUUUUCUUAGUUUUGUUUGGCUAUCACACAGAUUGCUACUGUGGACAUUUACAUGGAUGGAUGGAUGGAGAGAUGAUAAAGGGAUAUACACACACAUAUAUACACAUAUGCAUGUAUGUGUAUGUAUAUAAAUGUGUAUGUCUGUGUAUAUCUGUAUAUCUUUGGGGGUGGAUAUGUAAUACAUAUCUGUUGAGUUUCUAUUUAGGAGUGGAAUUACUGGAUCAUGGAGCAUGCUGAUAUUCAGCUUUGCAGCUGAAGAGUACUGAAAAGUAAGUAUGUGAGUACUCCUUUGAUUCC